rnacentral:rRNA from 1 species
AUUGAACGCUAGCGGGAUGCUUUACACAUGCACGUCGAACGGCAGCGCGGACUUCGGUUUGGCUGCGAGUGGCCAACGGGCGAGUAAUGUAUCGGAACGUGCCCAGUAGCGGGGGAUAAGUAUGCGAAAGCGUAGCUAAUACGCCAUUCGCCCAAAGGGGGAAAGCGGGGGAUCGUAAGACCUUGCACUAUUGGACCGGCCGAUAUCGGAUUAGCUAGUUGGCGAGGUAACGGCUCACCAAGGCGACGAUCCGUAGCUGGUUUGAGAGGACGACCAGCCACACUGGGACUGAGACACGGCCCAGACUCCUACGGGAGGCAGCAGUGGGGAAUUUUGGACAAUGGGGGCAAGCCUGAUCCAGCCAUCCCGCGUGUGCGAUGAGGGCCUUCGGGUUGUAAAGCACUUUUGGCAGGAAAGAAACGUCGCGGGCUAAUACCCCGUGGAACUGACGGUACCUGCAGAAUAAGCACCGGCUAACUACGUG